rnacentral:rRNA from 1 species
UGGGGAAUAUUGCACAAUGGGGGAAACCCUGACGCAGCGACGCCGCGUGAGCGAAGAAGGUUUUCGAAUCGUAAAGCUCUGUCCUAUGAGAAGAUAAUGACGGUAUCAUAGGAGGAAGCCCCGGCUAAAUACGUGCCAGCAGCCGCGGUAAUACGUAAGGUCCGAGCGUUGUCCGGAAUCAUUGGGCGUAAAGGGUACGUAGGCGGAUAAGCAAGUUAGAAGUGAAAUCCUAUAGCUCAACUAUAGUAAGCUUUUAAAACUGCUCAUCUUGAGGUAUGGAAGGGAAAGUGGAAUUCCUAGUGUAGCGGUGAAAUGCGCAGAUAUUAGGAGGAAUACCGGUGGCGAAGGCGACUUUCUGGCCAUAUACUGACGCUGAGGUACGAAAGCGUGGGUAGCAAACAGG